GGGUAACCCUGAGAAACCCGAAAGGUCGAAAGGGGAAAUUCAUUCGCGUUUCGAUUGUUGAUAUCGAGCAUUAGUAUGACGGUAAACGUUUCGAUGUUUAUUGCAUCUUUUGGUCUUUUAAUCGAUAUCGAACGCGUGCACUUUUCCUCUAGUAGGACGUCGCGAUCCGUUGGGUGUUUGUCUAAGGUUUGAGGUGGAGCCCGCGUGAUUUCUUAAUUGCGCGGACCCUCAUUAUCCCGACAGACUCGCUCGACGGUAUAUUGAUGGCGCGGGGCCGCUACUUUAGUUAGCGUUCGGCCCGUAGCAAGCACGUUCUGUGUUUGACAGUCAUCGGACCUGGUGCCGAUUCUGUCCCGGAACGACUGUUGGUUACGGUGUUCUCGAACAGACCUCGUUUUGAAACGCCGAUCAGCGACGCUAUAGAUUUGGGUACUUUCAGGACCC
rnacentral:rRNA from 1 species